GUAUAGUACCGUGAGGGAAAGGUGAAAAGAACCCCGGGAGGGGAGUGAAAUAGAACCUGAAACCCUGCACUUACAAGCUGUGGAAGCACAUUUCUUGUGUGACCGCGUACUUUUUGUAGAACGGGCCAACGAGUUACGUUAAGUAGCAAGGUUAAGCACUUAAGGUGCGGAGCCGUAGCGAAAGCGAGUUUUAACUGAGCGUUCAGUUACUUGACGUAGACCCGAAACCGGGCGACCUACCCAUGAGCAGGAUGAAGCGAAAGUAAAAUUUCGUGGAGGUCCGAACCCACGAGCGUUGAAAAGCUCGGGGAUGACUUGUGGGUAGCGGUGAAAUUCCAAUCGAGCCCGGAGAUAGCUGGUUCUCCCCGAAAUAGCUUUAGGGCUAGCCUCAAGGUGAGAGAUACGGAGGUAGAGCACUGAAUGUCCUAGGGGGUAUUGCACCUACCGAAGACUAUCAAACUCCGAAUGCCGUCAUCUUAUACUUGGGAGUCAGACUGUGGGUGAUAAGAUUCAUAGUCGAAAGGGCAACAGCCCAGAUCGUCAGCUAAGGUCCCUAAAUGUAAGUUAAGUGGUAAAGGAUGUGGGAUUGCACAGACAACCAGGAUGUUGGCUUAGAAGCAGCCACUCAUUCAAAGAGUGCGUAAUAGCUCACUGGUCGAGUGAUCCUGCGCCGAAGAUUUCCGGGGCUAAAACUUACUACCGAAGCUACGGCAUCAGUAAUGAUGGGUAGGGGAGCUUCCCAUACGGGUUGAAGCAUGACCGUAAGGACAUGUGGACAGUAUGGGAGUGAGAAUGUUGGCAUGAGUAGCGAGAUGUGGGUGAGAAUCCCACAGGCCGUAAACCCAAGGUUUCCAGGGGAAGGUUCGUCCGCCCUGGGUUAGUCGGGACCUAAGCUGAGGCCGAAAGGCGUAGGUGAUGGACAACAGGUUGAUAUUCCUGUACUACCGAUAACCGUUUGAGAGAAGGGAUGACACAGUAGGAUAAGCUAAGCACACUGUUGGUUAUGUGUGCCCAAGCAUUGAGGCAGUCAAAGUAGGCAAAUCCGCUUUGAUAAUGCUGGGAUGUGAUGGGGAGCGAAAUUUAGUAGCGAAGUAGCUGAUUUCACACUGUCAAGAAAAGUCUCUAUCGAGGUUAAAGGUACCCGUACCGCAAACCGACACAGGUGGGUGAGGAGAGUAUCCUAAGGCCAGCGAGAGAACUGUUGUUAAGGAACUCGGCAAAAUGACCCCGUAACUUAGGGAUAAGGGGUGCCACCAUCAGGUGGCCGCAGAGAAUAGGCCCAAGCGACUGUUUACCAAAAACAUAGGUUUCUGCUAAGUCGCAAGACGAUGUAUAGGAGCUGACGCCUGCCCGGUGCUGGAAGGUUAAGGGGAUCUGUUAGAGCAAUCGAAGCAGUGAACUUAAGCCCCAGUAAACGGCGGCCGUAACUAUAACGGUCCUAAGGUAGCGAAAUUCCUUGUCGGGUAAGUUCCGACCCGCACGAAAGGCGUAACGAUUUGGGCACUGUCUCAACAACAGACUCGGUGAAAUUGUAAUUCCGGUGAAGAUGCCGGAUACCUGCGACAGGACGGAAAGACCCCAUGGAGCUUUACUGUAGCUUGACAUUGGGUCUUGGUACUACAUGUACAGGAUAGGUGGGAGGCUUUGAAACCAGGACGCCAGUUUUGGCGGAGCCAUCCUUGGGAUACCACCCUUGUAGUACUGGGACUCUAACCAUAGGCCAUGAAUCUGGUCUUGGGACACUGUCAGGUGGGCAGUUUGACUGGGGCGGUCGCCUCCCAAAAGGUAACGGAGGCGCUCAAAGGUUCUCUCAGUACGGUCGGAAAU
rnacentral:rRNA from 1 species